rnacentral:rRNA from 1 species
AUGACACAAAAUAUUUUCUUGAGUGGGACAUUAACAGAAAAUUGGGAAGCAGUUCUUGGAGGUAUUAAAAACAUUAGGUUAUCUGGCCAGGCCCCCGUAGAUACCAAGGGCCGUGAAAAGGCUGGUUCUCUUCUUCCACCCAAGGAAAGAAGGUUUAUAGUUCUUAUAUCAACAAUGAUGUCAAGCCAGACAAUUAAGUUACACAUGGCACAAAGCUGA